GGUCGAUCACAGUGUUUUUCCAUGUCAAGAAUAUAAUCAGGGUCUCUAUCAGAUCUCAACAACCUGGAAUAGCUGCCACAUCCCUAACUAUGCCUUUUAUAAUCAGGCUGCAUGAACAUAAACCAUGAGAAGAGAAUUCGUUUUGUUGAUACUCUAGCCAUCUAGAAUCUGCAAUACAACAUCAGAUUGGGCAGACCUACACGCAAGGGUGCGAAGAAAGAGAGAGAGACAGCGAGAGUACCAGAUAAGCCAAGGGAAUUUUCUCGCUUAGAUCAUUCCUCGACUAAGCCCACAGAGAAAGGAGGGAGCGACAUUAGAAUCGAAAGAAGAAGGCGUUCGAGAUCGGAGGAGAAGUCCCACCAGAGAGACGCGUCUACGGUUUCCGGUCCGGCGACCUGGUUGAUUGCUGCUGCGACGGUCGCCAUCCCGGGAGAAAACCCUAAUCCCGCCGGAGAUUGCCGAGUGGUAAAAUAGAGGCCAGAAGAAGGAGAGCUAGGCCUAGAGCACGGUUUUACUGACGAAGAGGGGUCGCCAGUGUGUCAUGUGGACUCAACAUCGGUUCAGCCCACCCUUCUACU